GACGAACGCUGGCGGCGUGCUUAACACAUGCAAGUCGAACGCUGAAGCUCAGCUUUUGUUGGGUGGAUGAGUGGCGAACGGGUGAGUAACACGUGAGUAACCUGCCUCCUUCUUUGGGAUAACGCCCGGAAACGGGUGCUAAUACUGGAUAUUCACUGGUCUUCGCAUGGGGGUUGGUGGAAAGGGUUUUUCUGGUGGGGGAUGGGCUCGCGGCCUAUCAGCUUGUUGGUGGGGUGAUGGCCUACCAAGGCUUUGACGGGUAGCCGGCCUGAGAGGGUGACCGGUCACAUUGGCACUGAGAUACGGCCCAGACUCCUACGGGAGGCAGCAGUGGGGAAUAUUGCACAAUGGGCGCAAGCCUGAUGCAGCGACGCCGCGUGAGGGAUGGAGGCCUUCGGGUUGUGAACCUCUUUCGCUCAUGGUCAAGCCGCAACAAUGGUUGUGGUGAAGGUAGUGGGUAAAGAAGCGCCGGCUAACUACGUG
rnacentral:rRNA from 1 species